CACCGCCAGUAUCACCGCCACGAAACUCCACUCCAUUUCUCUCUCUCUCCAAUUUGACCCUUCUUUUCACCAAAAAAGAUAGAUAACUAAGCGUGUUACAAAAAAAAAAAAAGAUAGAUAACUAAGCUGUGUGCAAUGAGCUUUGAGCUUACUGUCUCUCCUCCAGUGCUUUUCAAAGCGACCAUGCAGCUGCAGGAGCCAGCGACUCCUGUUUUUGGCAACCCCACAACGACAAAACGACACCAAAAGUUUUACAAAUCUGAUGUACUACUCUGAGGAACAUGGGAGAGAGACUUAUAAUCUCCACAAAAUGUUGCAUGAGUAAAAAUCCAAGCCUACAGCCAUACAAACUGCCACUGCUUUUUGACUUUGGAGGAUUCAAGACUGGAUAUAUAGAUGAUGAUCAUUUAACUAUGUUAAUCCCUUAACUCCACCGUAUAUGUUAACUCUGCAUAAGAAGAUGAAUGUGGCUAAUAAUACACCAUGAGCGUGUGUUAGAUUUAGUUUGAUGAUUAGUGUGACCAUCUUUAUGUUUGAACUAGUUGAACAUCUUUGUUCUAGCCUUUUUCAUGGACUAGGGAGAUUAUCUAUCUUUCAAUAUUUUAAAUUAGGAUACGACCGCAUGACUAUAUAUGUUUUCUUAUUGCAUUUUAAAAAUAAAUUAGAAAUUGAUCCGUA